AUACGGAGGGUGCAAGCGUUACUCGGAAUCACUGGGCGUAAAGCGCGCGCAGGCGGUCUUUUAAGUUGGAUGUGAAAGCCUACGGCUCAACCGUAGAACUGCAUCCAAAACUAUUAGACUAGAGUGUGGGAGAGGAAGAUGGAAUUAGUUGUGUAGGGGUAAAAUCCGUAGAGAUAACUAUGAAUACCAAAAGCGAAGGCAAUCUUCUGGAACACUACUGACGCUGAGGCGCGAAAGCGUGGGGAGCAAACAGGAUUAGAUACCCUAGUAGUCC
rnacentral:rRNA from 1 species